rnacentral:rRNA from 1 species
CUGAUCCAGCCAUGCCGCGUGCGGGAAGAAGGCCUUCGGUUGUAACCGCUUUGUCGGGGAAGGAAACGUCGCGACCUAAUACGUCGCGGUAAUGACGGUACCUGAAGAAUAAGCACCGGCUAACUACGUGCCAGCAGCCGCGGUAAUACGUAGGGUGCAAGCGUUAAUCGGAAUUACUGGGCGUAAAGCGUGCGCAGGCGGUCAUGCAAGACAGAUGUGAAAUCCCCCGAGCUCAACUUGGGAACUGCAUUUUGUGACUGCAUGGCUUGAGUGCGGCAGAGGGGGAUGGAAUUCCGCGUGUAGCAGUGAAAUGCGUAGAUGCGGAGGAACACCGAUGGCGAAGGCAAUCCCCCUGGGCCUGCACUGACGCUCAUGCACGAAAGCGUGGGGAGCAAACAGGAUUAGAUACCCUGGUAGUCCACGCCUAAACGAUGUCAACUGGUUGUUGGAGGGGUUUCUCUUCAGUAACGAAGCUAACGCGUGAAGUUGACCGCCUGGGGAGUACGGCCGCAAGGUUG